rnacentral:rRNA from 1 species
UACAUAGGCAGCAAGCGUUGUUCGGAGUUACUGGGCGUAAAGGGCGCGUAGGCGGCUUGAUGUGUCAAAGGUGAAAUCCCUCGGCUCAACUGAGGAACUGCCUUUGAAACUGUCUGGCUUGAGGCCGGGAGAGGGUAGCGGAAUUCCCAGUGUAGCGGUGAAAUGCGUAGAUACUGGGAGGAACACCGGUGGCGAAGGCGGCUACCUGGACCGGUUCUGACGCUGAUGCGCGAAAGCGUGGGUAGCAAACAGG